rnacentral:tRNA from 1 species
GGGCUUGUGGCGCAGCAGGAAGCGCACCGGUGCGGCAGACCGGAGGUCGACGGUUCGAAUCCGUCCAGGUCCA